GGAUGUGAGGGUGAUCUGGAUGCAACAUCUGUCACUCCAUUGAUCACCAGGGUUGGUUCGGCUGAUCUGGCUGGAUAGUUGGGUGUCUCCUUCCUCCCUCACCACUCCGUGUGCGUGCCUCCCAAAGCUGCAUGCUCCCUCAGUUGAAGACGACAAGCUUCCCUGCUUCCUCGAUAGAGGAGGACUGUUCUUCAGUCAAGGGUAUUUGAGUAGCUGUGCUCCCCUGCUAGAACCUCCAAACAAGCUCUCAGAGAUGUCUUGGCUAUAGUUUGCUGUUUGCAUUUUCAGAUGAUUUUAGAGUCAAUUAAUUGUAUUAAUUAAUUCUUGUAUUAAUU
rnacentral:snRNA from 1 species